rnacentral:rRNA from 1 species
GUGACCCCAGGUCAGGCGGGGCUACCCGCUGAGUUUAA